rnacentral:rRNA from 1 species
AUUGAGCGCUGGCGGAAUGCUUUACACAUGCAAGUCGAACGGCAGCACGGACUUCGGUCUGGUGGCGAGUGGCGAACGGGUGAGUAAUGUAUCGGAACGUGCCCAGUCGUGGGGGAUAACGUAGUGAAAAUUACGCUAAUACCGCAUACGAUCUAUGGAUGAAAGCGGGGGAUCGCAAGACCUCGCGCGAUUGGAGCGGCCGAUAUCGGAUUAGGUAGUUGGUGGGGUAAAGGCCCACCAAGCCAACGAUCUGUAGCUGGUCUGAGAGGACGACAAGCCACACUGGAACUGAGGCACGGUCCAGACUCCUACGGGAGGCAGCAGUGGGGAAUUUUGGACAAUGGGCGAAAGCCUGAUCCAGCCAUUCCGCGUGCAGGAUGAAGGCCCUCGGGUUGUAAACUGCUUUUGUACAGAACGAAAAGGUUUCUACUAAUACUAGGAGCUCAUGACGGUACUGUAAGAAUAAGCACCGGCUAACUACGUGCCAGCAGCCGCCGCAG